GAUGAACGCUAGCGGCAGGCUUAAUACAUGCAAGUCGAGGGGCAGCAUGAUUGUAGCAAUACAAUUGAUGGCGACCGGCAAACGGGUGCGGAACACGUACACAACCUUCCAACAAGUGGGGGAUAGCCCAGCGAAAUUUGGAUUAAUACCCCGUAACAUAGCGAUGUGGCAUCACAUUGCUAUUACAGAUUUUUCGCUUGUUGAUGGGUGUGCGGCUGAUUAGAUAGUUGGCGGGGUAACGGCCCACCAAGUCUACGAUCAGUAACUGAUGUGAGAGCAUGAUCAGCCACACGGGCACUGAGACACGGGCCCGACUCCUACGGGAGGCGGCAGUAAGGAAUAUUGGACAAUGGACGCAAGUCUGAUCCAGCCAUGCCGCGUGAAGGAUUAAGGUCCUCUGGAUUGUAAACUUCUUUUAUAAGGGACGAAAAAAGGCUUUUCUAAGUCGUCUGACGGUACCUUAUGAAUAAGCACCGGCUAACUCCGUGCCAGCAGCCGCCGUAAAAC
rnacentral:rRNA from 1 species